GAUUCGCAGAGAAGAGAGAUGUUUUUACCCAUUUUUUAGUUUUUUAUUUUUUAGUAGAAUAUUUAGAAUAUGAUUGAAGUGCGUACGAAAAGAGGGCUUGUAUUUAUUAAACAUAUGCAGAUAUAGCAUUUCUAUUUAUAUAUGUCUUUCCUCUUUUCUUUUUAUUCCAUUAUAGCUCUCUAGUGGAGACAACACAUGGCGUGCUCUAUCAAAAAUUCUAUUUUUUCUUUAAUUUUAAUCUAUUCAAUGAAAAAUUGAAACACGAUAAUUUCUUGCUGAUUCCCUAUGGACAUCAUAUCUAGAUAGAUAAAAUACCUCAUUAGAUAACUAGAGCUGUGUAACAACUUAUGUUCGGGGGUUUACAUAGACUCAUAAUUGCUGUUAUAUUAUUAUAAUAUAAUUUAUAAUUAUAUAAUUUAUAAUUGAAAUUAAGAAAGUUUUUUUAUUGAAUUGAAAAAA
rnacentral:lncRNA from 1 species